CACAAUGACACACAGGUGACUCAGACCGUAAAGAAUCUGCCGACAGUGCAGAGACCCAUGUUCGAUCCCUGGGUCGGGACGAUCCCCUGGAGAAGGAAAUGGUAACCCACUCCAGUAUUAUUGCCUGGGAAAUCCCAUGGACAGAGGAGGCUGACGGGAGACCAUGGGUCGCAAAGAACUGGACACAGCUGAGCGACUAACACACACAUAAGGUUGAGAACCUUUGAACUAAAGGAGUAUAUAUUGGCCCUCACUGCAGUGCUUCCCUUCUGAGCCACAGGUCCAGGGUAUUAAGAAACUAAGAUCAUGGUCCUGAACUUGGGUGUGCACAGCUCUCAGUAGCUGGAUUCAAGGCCACAUGAUGAUAAAAUUUAACUUCACCAAAUAGUCUAAAUCUAAAUGGUUGUCUCCCGGCUGAGGGUACCCAGUGGCCUUGUGGAAAGUUGAGAAAGCAGGUCCUGCCAGAAGGCGGGUGUUUAGGUCGGUGUGAGGGGUGUGGUGGGUGAAGGCGGUACCCGGCUGGAGACCUUAGGAACAGUAGUUCAGUUCAGUUCAGUUCAGUCGCUCAGUCAUGUCCGACUCUGUGACCCCAUGAACCGCAGCACGCCAGGCCUCCCUGUCCAUCACCAACUCCUGGAGUCCACCCAAACCCAUGUCGAUUGAGUCGAUGAUGCCAUCCAACCAUCUCACCCUCUAUCAUGCCCUUCUCCUCCUGCCUUCAAUCUUUCCCAGCAUCAAGGUCUUUUCCAAUGAGUCAGCUCUUUGCAUCAGGUGGCCAAAAUAUUGGAGUUUUAGCCUCAACAUCAGUCCUUUCAAUGAACACCCAGGACUGAUCUCCUUUAAGAUGGACUGGUUGGAUCUCCUUGCAGUCCAAGGGACUCUCAAGAGUCUUCUCCAACACCACAGUUCAAAAGCAUCAAUUCUUCGGCAUUCAGCUUUCUUUAUAUUCCAACUCUCACAUCCAUACAUGACCACUGGAAAACCAUAGCCUUGACUAGACGGACCUUUGAUGGCAAAGUAAUGUCUUUGCUUUUUAAUAUGCUAUCUAAGUUGGUCAAAACUUUCCUUCCAAGGAGUAAGUGUCUGCCGGAGUCCAACUCCAGCAGCCAGAGAUUCAGCCUGAAGAGCUGAACGGUGUCAGCGAAUGAGACAGCCUCUCAUUUUUCUAUGGACUGCCUGUUUAUUCCAAGUUUAAGAUUCUCUUUUAUACUUUUACAAAAACAUUAGGCCAGAGGUUUGACAUUUUCAGUUCCCCUCUUCCAGAUUUAUUGUCUCCAUAAAUCAUUGUUGCUCUUCAGAGUUCCUGCUUCAAUGAUUCUCUCGGAAUCAGCCUUAUCAUCUAUUAUCUACCUCUUCUAAUGUGUCCUAUAGUUAACUUGUGAUUACAUUGUUACUCAUGAUACAUUCCUCAGUUUACUACUUAUCUUCCUAAGCCUUGUUUGCCCCUAACAUCCUGAGCUCACUAUCUCUUAAAAAUGCUUCUAGCUAUAGUGUCUCUAAAAAUUCCUAACUUCUAUAAGCUAUAGUGUUUGCUAUGAAGACUCUACACAUGGACAUCACCAGAUGGUCAACACCGAAAUCAGAUUGAUUAUAUUCUUUGCAGCCAAAGAUGGAGAAGCUCUAUACAGUCAACAGAAACAAGACCAGGAGCUGACUGUGGCUCAGAUCAUGAACUCCUUAUUGCCAAAUUCAGACUUAAAUUGAAGAAAGUAGGGAAAACCGCUAGACCAUUCAGGUAUGACCUAAAUCAAAUGCCUUAUGAUUAUACAGUGGAAGUGAGAAAUAGAUUUAAGGGUCUAGAUCUCAUAGAUAGAGUGCCUGAUGAACUAUGGAAUGAGGUUCGUGACAUUGUACAGGAGACAGGGAUCAAGACCAUCUCCAUGGAAAAGAAAUGUAAAAAAGCAAAAUGGCUGUCUGGGGAGGCCUUACAAAUAGCUGUGAAAAGAAGAGAGGCGAAAAGCAAAGGAGAAAAGGAACGAUAUAAGCAUCUGAAUGCAGAGUUCCAGAGAAUAGCAAGAAGAGAUAAGAAAGCCUUCCUCAGCAAUCAAUGCAAAGAAAUAGAGGGAAAGAACAGAAUGAGAAAGACUAGAGAUCUCCUCAAGAAAAUUAGAGAUACCAAGGGAACAUUUCAUGCAAAGAUGGGCUCGAUAAAGGACAGAAAUGGUAUGGACCUAACAGAAGCAGAAGAUAUUAAGACGAGGUGGCAAGAAUACACAGAAGAACUGUACAAAAAAGAUCUUCACGACCCAGAUAAUCACGAUGGUGUGAUCACUCACCUAGAGCCAGACAUCCUGGAAUGUGAAGUCAAGUGGGCCUUAGAAAGCAUCACUACGAACAAAGCAAGUGUAGGUGAUGGAAUUCCAGUUGAGCUGUUUCAAAUCCUGAAAGAUGAUGCUGUGAAAGUGCUGCCCUCAAUAUGCCAGCAAGUUUGGAAAACUCAGCAGUGGCCACAGGACUGGAAAAGGGUUCAAGGCGCGCAGCAUCAAUGGGGCUCGGCGGAGGCGAGUGUUCAGAGUCGCCCCCCUGCUCCGGGAAGAGACGGCUGCCCGAGAGGCUGAUCGUCGCCAGCUCUUAUCCACGGAGACCCCGCACCCACGUGUCUCCUGCAUGACUCCCGAGGGUGCAAUGAGCUAGGGUUGUUCGACCCCAGCUCAAGGAAAGCCACCCGCUGAGUAGCAAGGGCCCCCACUCCACAUGGCAGAACCCAGAGGCGAGCGGGAGGCGAAGGCUGCGAGGCGCGCCGCCAACUCUCAAGGCCGGCAGCCUCCGCCGGGCCUGCUGGGAAAUGUAGUCCGCAAGGUGCCCUGGGAAAACGAGGUGCGUUGACCCCCUAGCCCCAAAAACCCCGAGACCCGGAUGCGGAGGGCCUCGGGCAUCCUUACUCAGCUUCCGGCAGGGGGCGCUCCACCCAAGGCCGCCCUGCUUGCUUAGCACCUCCCCCCAAAACGCCCCACCUGUCCCCCAACCUUCCCAAGACCUGCUGAAACGGUCAGAGCAAUGAACGCAACACAAAGAAUCGCGGAGAAACGGCAUCCCAGUCCCUAAUUAGAAUGUGAAAGGAAACAGCUAGGAGCGGUUUCUCCUCAAGCGAGAGAUUUGUAGAUGUCACCGCACCACGUUAAGCCAUAUCACCUUGGCCAGGGCUCGCUCUCCUGGGCGUCCCAAUCGCGCGCUUUUGUUUCAUUUGCUAUACAGUCUAUUACUGGAAUCACUGGUGUAAUAAGGUCCGUUCAUUAGAUGAUAGUACCGGAGCAUGGAUAAUUUCCAGACUUUGAUAAUGUCCUUGUUUUUAGAAAAUACACAUUAUUUAGGAAUAUAGAGCGAUGUUAGCAUUUUGAACUGGGAGGAAAUAAGAGAAAGGGCCAGGGUAUCCUGAAUCCUACGGAAGAAAGUCGGCAAAUCACCUGGGCAGUGAUCAGCCCUUCCUAAAGUUGAUCUGCCCCUGUCCCAUCUGGGAUGCGGGGACUCAGCAGACAUGGAGUUCCUGUCCUCCCGGAGUGUGACUAGCUAAGGGAGGGAAGGA
ensembl:lncRNA